AGAAAGUGAUUCAAAAUUUCUUGGAGAACUAGGAAAAAAGUGAUUUCAUUUUCUCCUACUUGGACUUACAGAAUGGUAGAGCUGCAAGGGACCUUCUGGAUCACUUCAUCACCUGUUCAGUCUACCCGUUUCACAGAGAGAACAUGAUGGUUCAGAAGAUGACAGAAAUCAGUACCUACAAGAUCAGCACCUCUCCUGAGUCUGGAAAUGGAAGAGUGAGAAUCUCCUGGUCACAGUGGUAAUAAACAAAUGGAAUGGAUCCCUUAUGCAAUAAGCAAAAUGGCAUGGACUUGGACAUGUGAAACAUGUGUUUUUAAACCCAUGAAGAUACCAAAGCAACUUUUAUCUUAUUAAGUAGGGCUUUAGCUCAAGGACAGGUUUAGGGCAACUAUGUGUACUAAGUACCUUCCCUCAUAUUUUAGUUCUCUUAGACCAACAUGCAUUGACCAUAACUGGAUUGAAAUUAAGUCACUUUACAUGUUUUUCUUUCCCAUUUUUCCCCAUGUUCCUCCCCACCCAUAUCAGCUGCAGCCAUUUCUACAGUCAAAACAUCCCCCAAAUUAAAUUAUACUCAUGGCAUAGAAUAACAAUCCAAGCUUCCUUUUGUAUGCCAGCCAGAACCUCUUCACGUAAGUACAGCUCAAAAGAGGUAUGAGCAAUGUUUUAAGAUAAUGUCUUGCAAUCACAAUUGGUCCACUGUGCCUAAACCCCAUAUGGAAGUCACUACACGCCCCCUGACAUUUCUCACCAAGGAAGAUGGUAAAGAGGAGAGGGUCUCUCUGAGAUGAAAUUCACCAACUUUAGUCUGACACAGUUUAUUCUUAAAGUGACUAAAAGAAUAC